rnacentral:rRNA from 1 species
GACGAACGCUGGCGGCGUGCUUAACACAUGCAAGUCGAACGGAAAGGCCCCUUUGGGGGUACUCGAGUGGCGAACGGGUGAGUAACACGUGAGUAACCUGCCCUUGACUUCGGGAUAACUUCAGGAAACUGGAGCUAAUACCGGAUAGGAAUCCUUGCUGCAUGGUGGGGGUUGGAAAGCUUCGGCGGGUUUGGAUGUACUCGCGGCUUAUCAGCUUGUUGGUGGGGUAGUGGCUUACCAAGGCUUUGACGGGUAGCCGGCCUGAGAGGGCGACCGGCCACAUUGAGACUGAGAUACGGCCCAGACUCCUACGGGAGGCAGCAGUGGGGAAUAUUGCACAAUGGGCGGAAGCCUGAUGCAGCAACGCCGCGUGCGGGAUGACGGCCUUCGGGUUGUAAACCGCUUUCAGCAGGGGCGAAGCUUGUGGUGACGGUACCUGCAGAAGAAGCACCGGCUAACUACGUG